GUCCUUACACAUUCAGUGGCUUGGUUUGGUGGCGGAGGAAUUCUGUUAAUGACAGCGUCAUAUAUUGCAUCCAUUGAAGAUGUGUGCUAAGAACAUGACCUAAUCACGUUCACAUUAAACUAUAAUCCAGACAAAAAUUGAUGGACCAAAUUACCUGAACUGUAAAAAGUGGAGAAUCCCAACGAUUUUUUGAAUCGGGUGGCUCAAACCGCAUCAUUAAUUCAUCCAUUCUACAGCAAGAAAACAAAAAUAGAAACUCUCGUGUGCUUUGUGAAAAACUUAUAUGAAUGCUAUAAAUAAAACUUACAAUUUAUCUUCAUA